CCUACGGGAGGCAGCAGUGAGGAAUAUUGGUCAAUGGGCGCGAGCCUGAACCAGCCAAGUAGCGUGAAGGAUGACUGCCCUACGGGUUGUAAACUUCUUUUAUAAAGGAAUAAAGUGAGGCACGUGUACCUUCUUGUAUGUACUUUAUGAAUAAGGAUCGGCUAACUCCGUGCCAGCAGCCGCGGUAAUACGGAGGAUCCGAGCGUUAUCCGGAUUUAUUGGGUUUAAAGGGAGCGUAGACGGGUUGUUAAGUCAGUUGUGAAAGUUUGCGGCUCAACCGUAAAAUUGCAAUUGAUACUGGCAGGCUUGAGUACAGUUGAGGGAGGUGGAAUUCGUGGUGUAGCGGUGAAAUGCUUAGAUAUCACGAAGAACUCCGAUUGCGAAGGCAGCUUACUGGACUGCAACUGACAUUGAUGCUCGAAAGUGUGGGUAUCAAACAGGAUUAGAUACCCGGGUAGUC
rnacentral:rRNA from 1 species